CUUUUCUAGGGCCACUCCCACGGAAUAUGGAGGUUCCCAGGUUAGGGAUCUAAUCAGAGCUGUAGCCGCUAGCCUGUGCUAGAGCCAUAGCAACUCGGGAUCCAAGCCAUAUCUGCGACCUACACCACAGCUCACAGCAACACCGGAUCCUUCACCCACUGAGCAAGGCCAGGGAUCAAACCCGCAACCUCAUGGUUCCUAGUUGUAUUCAUUAACCACUGAGCCACGACGGGAACUCCUUCAAUAAUAAACUUUUUAAAAAGCUGAUGAUUUAUUCAAACAACACAGAAUGAACAUGGACUCUGCCAGGCACUAGGCCAGACACUGAAGAAAGGGGAACAAGGGAACAGGACAGAUACCAGCCCUGGACUCAGAGUGUCUGUAAUACCACAGAGUAUCUAGAAAGAAAAAAACCAAAGGAACAAAUAAAAGAAUCACAAAUGAUGUUGAGAACGAUGAAUAAAACAGAGUACGAAGAGUAAAAGGAGAAAUCAACUUUAAAUAGUAUGGUCAGGGCAGGCAACCGCUGAGGAAGUGACAUUUCAGUCACUGAGAAAAACUCAGCCCUAUGAAAAGCAGAAGGAAGCAUAUUCUAGACAUCGAAAACAGCAAGAGCAAAGCCUGAGGUGGGAAAGAACUUCACAUUUAGAAGAACUGAAAGAAACCUUGUUGACUUGAGCAAAGUUGAAGGGGGUUGGGGUGGGGACACCAUCUGUGUCUGAAAAAGCAAACAGCAAAGAACAUAUAUUCAAAUGCAAUAGGAAGCCAGUAAAGGGUUUAGGUAGAGGACUACUGAGAUCCAAGAGACGAUGUCUCUACGCGGCACAUGGAGAACCAAAAUGGGAAGCAAGUAUGGAAACAGAUGGCGGCCAGACCCUUGCCCUGAUACAGUUAUUAAGUUUCACCAUCUGUAUAAGGCAAGAAAACACUUUUUUAAAAAACUGAAGUAUAAUUGCUUCACAAUAUUAUAUUAGUUUCAGGUAUAUGGCAUAGUGAUUAUUUUUAUAGAUUAUACUGCAUUAAAAGAUAUUAGAAAAUAACGGCCACAUCUCCCUGUGCCAUACAAUAGAUCUUUAUUGUUUACCUAUUUUAUGCACUGCCGUUUGUACCUCUUACCCCAUACCCCUUUCUCGCCCCUUCUUCCCUUUCUCUCCCCACUGGUAACCACUAGCUUGUUUUCUGUAUCUGUGAGAAGAGAGCACUUUUUUAAAUUGUUUCUUUUCCUCUGAAUUGCUGAACAUUUCUUUUUUCAAUCAUCCCUGAUUCUUCUACCACCAACAUAUUAUUGCAAAUAAACAUAAUCAGCAUGUCCCUAAGAACAUCUUUGGACUCAGAACACCAAUUUUUAAAAUCUUGGCUCUUCUGCUUACUAGUUUUGUAAAGACCCUAGUUUCUGUGUUCUCAUCUAUAAAGUUGGAAUAAGAAUAGAACUUAUUUCCUAGAGAUAUUAUGAUGAUUAUAUCACAAAUCUAUGCAAAACCUCCUACAACAGUAGACUAAUAAGCAUUAAAUAAAAUAAUCCAUAUAAAGCACUUGGUAGCCAGAUCAUUAUAAUCAGAAGUAAAAGUAAUUAUUAUCUUAGUUAUAAUUAUUAUUAAUAAGCAUCCUCAGAGGAAGCUCCCAUGUGGCACAGCAGGCUAAGGAUCCAGCAUCGCCACAAUUGCAGCACAGGCUCCACCCCUGGCCCAGGAACUUCCACCUGCCGGGUGCAGCCAAGAACGAAACAAAACAAAACAAAAAACCUGGCCUCAGAAGUCUUCCUUCACUGGCUACCCUUCUUCUAUUAGUUUGAAAAUACGAGUUGUCCUGGAAACUUCAAUCCAACAGAAAAGAUCACAACUGCCACUGUGACUUCCCAAUUAGUCAAAUCUAAUGUGCAUAUAGUAACAGUUCCCCAUGAGUGGAGAAAUAUCACAUUAGCAUUGCAUCAGCUGAAUCAUGUGAAUUUGAUUUAUCAGCAUUCCAGGGAGUGAAGGGUUUGGGUGUUACGUGGAGAUUCAGUUAUUGAGUGGUUAAACAAUGUCCACUCAAAAUAGCAUGUAAAGUAAAAUACAAGAUCAAUUUAUACCAGAGAAAGCAAACCAGUAAUGAGCUUGCAUAAAGAUUAGGUUGACUACCAUCAAUAUAAAUUAAACAUAUUUUUUAUCCAUAGCUUCAUAACAGAUUUUUAACUUGUUAAUACAAGCCUUCUUAAUACCAUGUUUGCUUGUUUGUUUGUUUUUUGGCUGAGAUGAAAGUUGGAUUCUUACUGGGCAACUGUAGUAGAUGCUGCCGCGUGCUGCCCAGAUCCCCCAUUAAGGACUCCCUUCUAGGAUCAAGGCUCUCCUCCCCCAGCUUCCAGGAGCAUUGGUUGUUGACUGUUCACAACUGUACCCCUCAAGGAUGCACCACUUCUCUGGUCGAUGGAGUAAUGCAAAGGCCAGUCCCCUUGCUUCCGUCUGGGGCAACUCGGAAGAGCCAUCUAGCUCCAGAGCUCACCAUAAGAUGGGCUCACAUCUCCAUGGAAACUGCACCAUGGUCCAGCUUCUCCCUCUUUCCAACCUUCACCCGCUUCAGUCGCCCACAGGUGUAGAUCUUGACAGUACUUGCCCCGUAGACCUUGCAUUCACAAAUCUCAGACUCCAUUUCCUAGCAACUUGCCCCAAGACAACAGCCAACAAAUAUUAUAGAAUAAAUCAAUUUUUUUUGCCACAGAUCCAUUCAUACCUUCUUUCAAAACAUGAACACAUUCUUAAAACAUAAGCCAACAGUUAAUCUCUUAAUAAAGAUGUGUGAAUAAGCUUUAAAACCAAGUCAUCAUUUCAUCGCACUGUUUAUUUCCUAUUAAGCUGUCAAACAAAAAAAAUUACUACCUAAACUGAUUAAAUACCUUGUCCUUCACUCUGAGACCACAAACCACUUAAAAGGAGGAUGACAUUAGUUCUAUAGAUAUCUCAAGAAAAUUAUUCUUACUUUUAUAGAGAAUAUAAUGUAUGGUUAAAAUAGAUGUCGUGGACUAGUUCAUAUCUUUUAAUCAUGCACAUUGAACUACUUUUUUCUUAAGAAUAGACCUAAUAUUUACUUACAGGCAAAAAUAAUUUAAUUCACGAAAUAAAGAAUUCAGCUUUGUUAAGAAAAGUUAAAAUCUCAUUUUUAAGUUAAGAGAGAAGCUUAAAGGAAUUCCCACUGCGGCAAGUGGGUUAAGAAUCCCAAUACAGUGGCUUGCGUCACUGCAAAGGUACAGGUUAGAUCCUGGCCAGGCGCAAUGGGUUAAAGGAUCCAGCACUGCCAUCUCAGCNAAAAAAAAAAAAAAAAAAAAAGAGAGAGAGCAAGAGAGAAGCUUACAAUCUCUUUAGUAUAAUUAUAUUGUUAUAUAAAAUGAUUUAAAAAUUUAGAUAUAUAACAAAAAAGUUUUAUUUUAAACAUCAAAAAUGAGGGAAAAUACUAAAAAUGGAAGUGUAAGAAAUACAUUGAAGCUUACAUUCCUCUAUAUAAAAUACUUAACUCUCCCGGGGCUAUUUGCAGACCUCAGAGUGCAUAGCUUAAAGAUUCAAAAAUCCUAGUUUUUCUACUUCAAAAAUCAAUAGUUAUCUCAUACCACAAGCUAGAAUCUUGAUUGUUUGCGUGGGAAGCCCUUCAAUUUUAACGAAUGUAAAGAGAGAAUCUACUCUGCUCACCAGAAACUGGAAUUAUGUUCUCAAAUGUAUCCUAUCAACUAUCCCUCACCUAGCCUUCUGAGACUUAAUUCUCUCUCUGACCUAAGAUGUUUUGAAUGUCUUCCACAAUUAUUACUUUACUGGCACUUUGAUGACUCAUAAUUAUUUUUAGGAUCAAAACUCUAACCUAACCAUCUGCUGAUUUGCCAGUACUCCCUAGUAUAACUGAAACAUACACAUCUAUCGCCAACAACUAAAUGAGCUUCCUCUAUCUACAAAUACUAUUAUUCACAGAAAGUUUACUGAAGGUCAGGAAACAGAUUGAGAGAAGUCACUGAAUGCCAGAAGCAGAACUUUAAACAAAAGUUUAUUUCUGCCAGUAAGUGAGAAAGGUUACAUAUGUAACUUAGAUGGUUUGGUCUUCCCUUGCUUCUUCCUAUUUACAAAUACAAACAUCUCUUCUCAGAAGCAAAUAAAUAAAUCAUUUUCUUAAGAAGUCACAGUCUCGCUGAAUUUUACUUUCCAACCAAAUUUAAACGUUUUGCUUAAUACUCCUUAAAGUGCUAAAAACUCACUGAUGUCACAUACCAAGAAUUAAAAAAAAAAAAAAAGAAUUAAAAAUUCUGUCUUUACAAACAGAAGAAAAGCAACAACUCCAGAAGAAAAUAAUUCUAUCCAGACACCGGAGAAGAUCUCAUGAGAGUUAAGAUAUUUAAUUACCACAAUUUGGGAACAAGAAGCAACAAUGGAGAAAAGCAAAUAGAAGGUAAACAUGAGAGCGAUAGUUAAAUGCAAAUUCAUGAGUAGAAACCAAAAGUGUGAAAACUGAUCAUAUUUAAUGAUGCAUCUCUGCUUUCCCAGUUCUUCCUCAAUCAUAUGGUAAAAGAAAAUAUGAAGACACAUUAAUCCUGCUACCGGCCUUGAACACAGAAUAGGCAUUCAAAGCAAAAAGUUGAUAGUGCAACACUGACUAAAGCUAACUUGUCAAAAAGUAUCACUCCUUUAGGUAAUCAAUUACAACAGGGAUUCUAUAUACACUCUCCAGGCACAGUAAGGGUUAAAACAUACUCCCCUGUGGUGGUGCGUGACCAUGGGCUCAAGCACAUUUUAGUGUACCCCGACAUCAGCUAGAUCCUAAGUGAAUGGAGUCUACAAUAGUUUGAUCAAAGAGAUUGAGGGUAAAAGGAGCAAUUGCUUUUUGGGGUAGCUAAUGGAACACAAGAACAACUGGUUUGUACAUCAUUUUACUCUACAGUUCUACACAUCCUUGAGUUUAGAAACUGUCAAGUAUUUUUAAGGGUGAGAAUAUAAGCAGGAUCAAAGCUACAGUUAAAACUGUGAAUGCUCUGAAAAUCUUUUGGCCCUUUAAAGUUUAUGUACACAAUAGAGUUCUCCUCUCUCCAGAGAACAUCACUAAACAAAACCAAGGGGGAGCACAUACUACAGCAGCAGCUACUGGGAAUUACCAAAUUACAUGAAAUUAAUGGGAUGUGGCUCUUUGCAAUGAAUAAAUUUAUAACUAAAUGAUGAGUGCCUUACGCUUUUUAUUCCACCGGGUAAACUGCUAGAGUAAUCAAUUCAAUCAGGUCUAUUAGAGAGGCCCAUUAUAUGUCCGAUGGGCAGCUUUACUUCUUUCCCCUCCUUCUUCAGAUUUCUGUCUGUGCUGAAGGAAAAAUAAGCAGGUUGGUCCUUGAAUUUAAAUCUGGAAUGUUAAGAAGUCAGAUAUGCAAAUAGAUAAAACAGAAAAAAGGAAGCCAAGACUCGAUAAGCCAAAGGCACAAAAGAAAAAGAGAAACAUCAGGAAUACUAAAAUGUUUAGGGACCAAAUCAAAUAUUUUCAAUUUAUUUUUUAAAUGUAAUGCUGGUAAUAUUCAGAAAAAUAUUUCUAAAAUUAAAAAAAAAAGGGGGGGGGGGGGCUCAAGGAUAGAAUUACCAUGGCUCAGGCUUAGAAGGAUACAAACCAGUAUGCUUGCCCUAGGGCUGAGUGAUCCAUAUAUAGACCUGCAGAGGCAACAGUAAACUUCACAGGAAUUAUGUAAGCAAGGCUCUUCCUACGAUGAAAUGGUACCACAAAGGGGCAAGAAAUGACCUAGGCUUUACUUCCUGUAAUGAGGCAAUCUUUGCAACCCUAUGAAAAGUUUCUUAAUCCCAAGACUGGCAAUAUAACUUUUCUUAACUACCUCAUAGUUUUAAAAGGAGAGCCACACAAAUAACACAUGUAAGGGCUCAGUAAAGGUAAAAGUGUGAAACAGAGAAAAGGUAGCACUGACACCAGAGGCAGUCUCAGUGCUAUGGCUAACACAAAGCAAAGGCUCAACCAACAAUUGCUGGAUGAAAGAAUGAA
rnacentral:lncRNA from 1 species